AUGAGCACGGCGUCACCUCCAUCCACCCCACGGGUCCCCGGUCCCCACCGCGGCGGCGCGGCGAGCACAGGUGAAGGCAUUUCCCUCUGAGGGCUCUGCUCACGCCGGCCCCACGUGGGUGAACGUGCCGGGCUGAGUCACGGCCAUGAGAGCUGUCACGAGAGCGGGCAUCACCAGCGGUCCCCGGGGAGGCGGCAGCCACCCGCAUCCCCGUGGGGACGGAGACCCAGGGGUUCCUGCCCAGCCUCGGGCAUCCCCGCGGCCGGGAGGAUGCUCCUUUUCAUUCAGGAGCCUCUGAGAAGGAUCUGGGGUUAGGUUUUGGUUUUCUUGCUGAACGCUUUUUCCUACCGAGCGCGAAAGGGAUGGGAUCUUAAACUGAAGUCACAAUUUCCUCCUGUGCAGCAGGGCAAACAAACACUGAAUCGAACCAACACACCCAGCCUGCCAACAUCUUACUGGAAAGCCCCUCAAACAAAGAGUUCUGCAAAUAUUUCUCACCAAAAACAGAGCUGAGAGGGGAAGAGAGGGAAAAACAAAACAAAACAAACAACAAACCGCCAAAUCCUUCCACUCUGCUCCCAAGCGCCGCACGCGUUGCAAAUGAAAACAGAGGGCACGGGGUGAGGAGCAGCCCUGCGGUGCCGUGGGCUGAGCCUCCAGCAGCCAGGACACGCUCUGCCCUCAGCUUUAGCCGGAGAAACCAGGUCCCCACGGAACAGGUUCCCGAAACAGGGUACCCAGAGGUAACCAGAUUUCUCUACCCAAGGGCUGUGGAUUACCCCCACAAGAGAGGAUUCAGCAGCGAGCAAGGCGCAGGCAGCACGGAGCAUCGUGGCAGCACCUGAGCCUGGCUUGGUGGGGCACGGGGUCGAGGAGCAGCCCAAUUUCUGCACGCAAGCCCUAGGACAGAGCUGCCACCCUUGGGACAGGAACACGGACCAGGUCACAGCUCCCAGGCCUGGUGUCAGAGUUUCCUUUUUCUCUUAAAGGGUUGGGAGCGCCGAAACGUGAGAUUUGCAACGAAAACCUCCCAUUUCACCAAGAACGGGGGAGGAGAGAGAACAACGGACGUUCACCGGCACUCCCCAGCCCCACGGCUAACCCAGGCAAAGGCUGCCGGGUUUCGGGUGGCUUGGCUGGGUUUUUUUUCUGAGUAAAACCACUCAGGUCCUCCCAGUGACUCCUCGCCGGUCACAAGACGCUCACGGAGGAGGGAGGCAGAAAACCCUUCGGCGGCGGCACCGGGCGAGGCUGCGAGACGCCGCGGUCACCGCCGGCAGCUCGGUGUUUGCUGCCCGUGGGCGGGUGCUGGGUGCAAGAAGCGGGGCAGCCAGCCCUUUGGGUAGUAAAUUUUUACGACAGCUCAGCAGGAGGAGAGAAUGACAGAGCGAGUGGGCAGGGGAGACUCCCAGGAGGAGAUGAAAACAGCCCGGUAUUUAAAUAGCUUGCGAGCAGAGCCGGCACCGCAGCCGUGGGACGCUGCGAGGUCCCCACCCGACACAAAACUCGUCCCCUCUGCGAUGUCCCCGUGCUGGGGGGGGGGGGGCGCGAGGCUGGCAAAGCUCCCCCCGUGAUGCAGAGCGGGGCUUUCCUCGCCCCGGCGCGCCCUGUUCCUGGGAAGUCUCCUCCCCAGCGGGAACGCACGGGGGGAAAGUAAAUCCCUGCACAUUUACAGCAUCACCUUCCUCGGCAGGGCUGAGGGUCCUCGGCAUCCCUCAGAGCUCAGGCGGGUGCUGCGGAGGUGGUUUUAUCUGAACGUUUUGCUGGAAAUCAGCAAAAUGCCACAGCCCCAAGCCCAGCCUCUUAUCGUCUCCAGCUCCAGCAGCUCCAAGGACAGACAUCCCCCGGGCCGGUCUCGCUCGCAGGGAAGCAGGAGCAGAGCUGGCUUUAGGAGGAAGCAACGAGGAGAGCUCCCGGGCACUGCGCUGCGGGUAACAGGAGGAAAGCAGGUGCUGCAGGACUCCUGGAGGCAGGUCCCCGAAGGGAAAGCUCUGAACCCCCGCCUGAAGCAUCCCUUCUUCCAGCCUGGCAGGGCGGGAGGGCGAGAGCAGCCCCAUCCGAACCGCAGCGGGCGUUACAGACGUGUCGGGAGCAGCUCAGCUGGGGCGACCCGCACUGAAACUAGCGCCAGGGGAGAGCCGAGCGGCGGGAGACCGCGGCCAAGUUACCGCUGCCACCCAAACCCUGCGGGCUGCCGUUCAAAAAGGAGCCCUGCAGCGCUACGGGGGGGGCACGGCUCGGCUUCCUCCACCCACGAGGGUGUCGUACCUGCCGCUGGCAGGCAACAGCCCGCACCCCGCGCUAAAAAGCUCUGCUGUCGUGCACAGGGCAGACCAAAAGGGCGGCAGAGGGUUUCUUGCGGGGCCAGGAAGGAUGCCAAAGGACGCAAAAGCACCUCUCCUUCUCUCACCGCUUACGUUGCCGUGCCACGGGCACGGCUCUCAAGGACGCACCUCGCUGGAGCCUUCCCGUCUCCGGAAUUUGCCCCGGUGCUCAAAGUCCCUCCUCGCUGCCCAGCCGUCUUUCCUGGAGGUGGCAAAUAAAAUCUGCGCUUUGGAAGA